CAAUAGCGUAUAUUAACGUUGUUGCAGUUAAAAAGCUCGUAGUUGGAUUUCUGGAGGGAGCGUCGGCCCGUAUUUACGAGUGCGUGACGUCUCUGUCCAUCCUUGCGGGAAGGCACGGCAUUGAUUUGUUGUGUCGGAUCGCAUCAUUUACUGUGAAAAAAUUAGAGUGUUCAAAGCAGGCUUUCGCUUGAAUACAUUAGCAUGGAAUAAUAAGAUAGGACUUUGGCGCUAUUUUGUUGGUUGAGCCUAAAGUAAUGAUUAAUAGGGAUAGUUGGGGGCGCCUGUAUUGCGUUGUCAGAGGUGAAAUUCUUGGAUUUACGCAAGACAAACAGCUGCGAAAACGUCUGCCAAGGAUGUUUUCAUUAA
rnacentral:rRNA from 1 species